AAGGCAGAGCUGAAAGUUUUAGAGAAAGAGGAGAAGAAGAGAAGAGGAGAAGGACGAUGGAGGGAGAAGAAGAUGGAGGAAGGUCUUAGGCGACCUCUGUCAAAGAGUCUUUCAACCUCCCAAAGCAGUCAUGACUACAGAUGGAGAACCAUUGCUCUAGACAAACACAAUUUCCCCAUUUUGCGAACUGGACUGAUCUGAAUAUCUGGAUUUACCGCAUGGUCAUUGUAACAAAAUCAAUGUUGUAAUGGCACAAAGACAAAUAUGUAAGCCAACAGAAUAGAACAGAUGAUCCCGAAGCAGGUCAUCUGAUUCUUGACAAAAACUGUCAACAAUACGUGGGAGAAAGGACGGCAUCUAUAGCAAAUAAUGCUUGAAAAAUUGGGAUAUCCACACGUUGAAGAAUAAACCUACACACUUAGCUCUCUGAAAAGAAAAAUUCACAUAAAAUCGAUUAAAGACCUUAAUGUACAAACAGAAACAGGCCUCGGUGAAUAGUCAAGUGUUUGUUGUGCAAAUAUAGGGUCUAUUAAAAGCUGGGGAUGGUG
rnacentral:lncRNA from 1 species